AUUGAACGCUGGCGGCAGGCCUAACACAUGCAAGUCGAACGAGUGGCGGACGGGUGAGCAAUGUCUGGGAAACUGCCUGAUGGAGGGGGAUAACUACUGGAAACGGUAGCUAAUACCGCAUACCAUCGGAUGUGCCCACAGGGGAGUAGCUAGUAGGUGGGGUAAAGGCUCACCUAGGCGACGAUCCCCAGCUGGUCUGAGAGGAUGACCAGCCACACUGGAACUGAGACACGGUCCAGACUCCUACGGGAGGCAGCAGUGGGGAAUAUUCGACAAUGGGCGCAAGCCUGAUGCAGCCAUGCCGCGUGUAUGAAGAAGGCCUUCGGGUUGUAAAGUACUUUCAGCGGGGAGGCGUUACCCACAGAAGAAGCACCGGCUAACUCCGUGCCAGCAGCCGCGGUAAUUC
rnacentral:rRNA from 1 species